GAUGAACGCUGACAGAAUGCUUAACACAUGCAAGUCAACUUGAAUUUGGGUUUUUAACUUAGGUUUGGGUGGCGGACGGGUGAGUAACGCGUAAAGAACUUGCCUCACAGCUAGGGACAACAUUUGGAAACGAAUGCUAAUACCUAAUAUUAUGAUAAUAGGGCAUCCUAUAAUUAUGAAAGCUAUAAGCGCUGUGAGAGAGCUUUGCGUCCCAUUAGCUAGUUGGAGAGGUAACUGCUCACCAAGGCGAUGAUGGGUAGCCGGCCUGAGAGGGUGAUCGGCCACAAGGGGACUGAGACACGGCCCUUACUCCUACGGGAGGCAGCAGUGGGGAAUAUUGGACAAUGGACCAAGAGUCUGAUCCAGCAAUUCUGUGUGCACGAUGAAGUUUUUCGGAAUGUAAAGUGCUUUCAGUUGGGAAGAAAGAAAUGACGGUACCAACAGAAGAAGUGACGGCUAAAUACGUGCCAGCAGCCGCGGUAAUACGUAUGUCACGAGCGUUAUCCGGAUUUAUUGGGCGUAAAGCGCGUCUAGGUGGUUAUAUAAGUCUGAUGUGAAAAUGCAUGGGCUCAACUCUGUAUUGCGUUGGAAACUGUAUAACUAGAGUACUGGAGAGGGUAAGCGGAACUACAAGUGUAGAGGGUGAAAUUCGUAUAUAUUUGUAGGAAUGCCGAUGGGGAAUGCCAGCUUACUUGGACAGAUACUGACGCUGAAGCGCGAUAGCGUGUGGUAGCAAACAGGAUUAUAUACCCUGGUAGUCCGAGGGCGAAUUCCACAGCGGGAUAUUAUUGCUUAUCGAUUCCUGCUGACCUCUAGGGGGGGGCCCGGUACCAAAAAUAAAAAUCCCUUUAAUGAGGAGUUAAUUAUCUGUGCCUGCUUAUAUGCAAAAUACCUUGUGUUAUUACUUGUGAUAGUGUGUUUCCUUCUUGUGUUGCUGUUCCCUCCCCUGACUGAUUGUUUCUACUUCUAAUUUACUAGUGCCUGUCUCUUAGUGUGUGUGCUUCCUGUGUUGUGUUAUCUGUUAUCUGCUUCUGUUGUGUUGGUGUGAUGACUGUGCUGUGCUGCUGCUACCCCCUAUCUCUGUCGUGCUUGUGAUUGCUAUGCUAGCUGUUUGUUCUUUGUGCUGAUAGGGUGGCGCCUAUGCCUGCCUUACUGUUCUGCGAGUGUUACUGCUGCCCCCCCUAGCAUGCUAGCCUAUAGUUAACUUUC
rnacentral:rRNA from 1 species